GACGAACGCUGGCGGCGUGCCUAACACAUGCAAGUCGAACGGAGAAUUAGCAAUAAUUCUUAGUGGCGAACGGGUGAGUAACGCGUAGACAACCUACCCUUUAGAUGGGGACAACACCGCGAAAGUGGUGCUAAUACCGAAUAUUGCUUGAGAAGCGCAUGCUUUUCAAACUAAAGAUGGCCUCUAUUUAUAAGCUAUCGCUAAAGAAUGGGUCUGCGUCUGAUUAGCUAGUUGGUGAGAUAAAAGCUCACCAAGGUAACGAUUAGUAGCCGGUCUGAGAGGAUGAACGGCCACACUGGGACUGAGAAACGGCCCAGACUCCUGCGGGAGGCAGCAGUGGGGAAUCUUCCGCAAUGGACGAAAGUCUGACGGAGCAACGCCGCGUGAGUGAUGAAGGUUUUCGGAUCGUAAAACUCUGUUGUUAAGGACGAAUGUAUAGAUUGUGAAUAAUGGUUUAUAAUGACGGUACUUAACGAGGAAGCCACGGCUAACUACGUGCCAGCCGCCGCCGUAA
rnacentral:rRNA from 1 species